GGCCUUGCGAGGGGAGGGCCUGCCCACUGGCACCCUGUCCGUCUGUCCAGGCAGCUGGCACAGCCGAAUGUGGCACCACGAGCUACGCGCUGAGCUAUUUUUAAGAGGCCUGGGCUGCAUCCCAAGUAUAGCGUGCUCUAUUUCUGGUGCAAAAUGAUCUUCCUGGGUGGAGGGCGCAGAGAUUUUUUUUUUUGUAUGAAACACAUGGGUUUGGAGACAGGGAGAGAAAGAAACAGCUGGGCACAACUGGAAGAGAGGCGCAAGAAAAAGCAGGAAGAGCUGGUGGCCAUGAAGGUCUCACCCGGAGGGAAAGAUCUGUGCUUGCUGCUGCUCUCAAAUGCUCGUUGCCAAUGGUUUGCUCAUGGAUCAGGAAUUGAAAAGAAACUGAUGUGCAGGGCCAUGGAUUGACUCCUCAUGGCUGUGGGUUUUGCCAGUGCAACAUCUGAAACUGGAGGUCUGAAGUGUUUCCUUCUUCCUGGGCUGGUGAUGACACAAAGGCUUCUGAGAAGAUAGAAAAGGAUGUAAAAGAGUUUUCUUUGAAGUUUAAGAAGAAUUUGCCAUUCUUAAUUUUUCAGCUGCCUUAUAAGGACCCUCUCUGCAACGGCAGUAGGCAUAAAAAGUACCACGAUGUGACACUAAUCGUGGUGUUAAUUCAAGUCCUGUUCUCUGAAACCUGCUGUUCUUUUACCUCUUCUUGCUUGUGCACCAGGAAGAGCUUUUCCUUGACCAUAAAUUCAAAGUGGAAAUAUUUGGCAUUUCCAAAAUCCAUCACGAGACUGACAGCUUUUUCUUUGUGAUGUUCUUUUGGAGGAAUAUUUAGGUUUUUUGAGACUGGAUGAAAUGUUUCUGACUUGUGUUCGCAUCUAGAGCUAGGCACUCAUGUCCAGAUGGGGUCCUUCAGGGGGAGAACUCUCUAAGAACUCUUUCUCAGGAAAGUCUCUAUUCCCAACAAACUGGGCUGUGCUGGGCUGUGCAGUGCUGCAGCUGGAUUUCUCUUGCAACCAGCUGGGGCACUUCUCUUUCAUGGGCAGGUUCUGCACAUGGUGCCACAGCAUUUUCAGCCUUUGAGACCUUGUUUGUUCCUUAUGCAACUGGGAGAAACAGAGAGGGAAGGAGUUGUGAGGUAAAGCUGCAGAGCUGUGCACUUUAUCUGGGUGAAUAAAGGGUGAAUAUUGA